rnacentral:rRNA from 1 species
AGUUUGAUCCUGGCUCAGGACGAACGCUGGCUGCGUGCCUAACGCUUGUCUAUCAAACGGAGCUAAUCAGCUUGCUUUUUAGCUAAUUGGCGGACGGGUGACUAAUGCAUGAGCAUCCUGCCUGUCUGUGGGGGAUAACUUCUUGACCCCGAUGCUAAUACCGCAUAUGUAACAUAUUCCGCAUGGAUAACUGUAUGAGAGGAACAAUCCGCUGACAGAUGGGCUCUCCUCCGAUUAGUUUGUUGGUGGGGCAAUGGCCUGCCCUAGUGCGAUCCGAAGCCGGGGUGAUACGCUGAACGGCCACAUUUGGGACUGAAACACGGCCCACACUCCGACGGCAAGCAUCCGUGGGGGAUAUUGCAUUUUGGGGGAAACCCUGAUGCGCCUCCCCCCCGUGAGGGAAGAAUGUUUUCUGAUUGUAAAGCUCUGUCCUUAGUGAAGAACAUAAUGACGGUAGCUAAGGAGGAAGCUCCGGCUAACUACGUGCCAGCAGCCGCGGUAAUACGUAGGGAGCGAGCGUUGUCCGGAUUUAUUGGGUGUAAAGGGCGUGUAGGCGGCCUUGUAAGUCAGGAGUGUAAAGCAGGGGCUCAACUCCUGAUGUGUGUGGGUAAUGGGGGGGCUGGGGUCGGGUGGAGGCAGAUGAAUUCUCCGGGGUGGGGGGGAAAGGGGUGGUUAUGGGAGGGACCCCCGGGGGGGAGGGGCAUUUGUUGGGCUUGUAUGGCGGUGGGGUCAGGAAAGCAGGGUGGGCAACCGAGAUAGGUUCUCCUGUUGUUCCGUCCGUUAACGGAGGAUCCUAAAGGGAGGAGGGAUUGACCCCUUCCGUGCCGGAGUUAACACAAUAAGUAAUCCACUUCGGAAGUACGAUCGCAAGCAUGAAUCUCAAAGGAAUUGACGCGGGGCCGCACAAGCAGCGGAGUAUGUGGUCUAAUUAGUCGAUACGCGAUGUACCUUACCAGGUGUCGACAUCCACCUUACGAAGCAGAGAUGCAUUUGGUGCCUUUCGAGGAAAGCUGAGACAGGUGGUGCAUUGUGGUGGUCAGCUAUCGUCGUGAGAUAGUGGGCUAAGUGAGGCAAUGAGCGCAACCCAUACCGGUUAGUUGAUAUGUAAGAGCACUGUAACACGACCGCCGUUGAUAAAACGGAGGAAGGUGGGGACGAGGUCAAAUCAUCAUACCCUUUAUGAUCUGGGCUACACACGUAUUACAAUGGCCUGUUACCAGAGGGUUACAAUGGAGCGAUCCGGAGUCAAUCCAUAAAAUCGGUCCCAGUUCAGAUUGCAGCAUCCAAAUUACAAAUAUGAAGUUGGAACAGUUUGUAAUCGCAGAUCAGCAUGUUGGGGUGAAUACGUUCCUGGUCCUGGCACACACUGUCAGUCAA